UACAGGGGGUGCAAACGUUGCUCGGAAUCAUUGGGCGUAAAGCGCACGUAGGCGGUCUGUUAUGUCGGAUGUGAAAGCCCUUGGCUUAACUGAGGAAGUGCAUCCGAAACUGGCAGGCUAGAGUACUAAAGAGGGUCGCGGAAUUCCCGGUGUAGAGGUGAAAUUCGUAGAUAUCUGGAGGAACACCGGUGGCGAAGGCGGCGUUCUGGACUGCAACUGACACUGAGGCACGAAAGCCAGGGGAGCAAACGGG
rnacentral:rRNA from 1 species